GUGAGGAAUAUUGGACAAUGGGCGCAAGCCUGAUCCAGCCAUGCCGCGUGCAGGAAGACGCAUCUAUGGUGUGUAAACUGCUUUUGUACGGGAAGAAACACUCCCUCGUGAGGGAGCUUGACGGUACCGUAAGAAUAAGGAUCGGCUAACUCCGUGCCAGCAGCCGCGGUAAUACGGAGGAUCCAAGCGUUAUCCGGUAUCAUUGGGUUUAAAGGGUCCGUAGGCGGUUUAAUAAGUAAGUGGUGAAAACCCAUCGCUCAACGAUGGAACGGUCAUUAAUACUGUUAGACUGGAAUUACAAGGAAGUAACUAGAAUAUGUAGUGUAGCGGUGAAAUGCUUAGAUAGUACAUGGAGUACAAAUUGCGAAGGCAGGUUACUACUUGUGGAAUGACGCUGAUGGACGAAAGAGUGGGGAGCGAACAGGAUUAGAAACCCGAGUAGUCC
rnacentral:rRNA from 1 species